rnacentral:rRNA from 1 species
GACGAACGCUGGCGGCGUGCCUAACACAUGCAAGUCGAGCGAGAUCCAUCCAGUGGCAACACUGGUGAAGAUCUAGCGGCGAACGGGUGAGUAACACGUGAGAAAUCUGCCCCGAAGACCGGGAUAACCCGAGGAAACUCGGGCUAAUACCGGAUACCCCCAUCGAGCCACAUGGUUUGAUGAGGAAAUGCUCCGACGCUUCGGGAGGAUCUCGCGGCCUAUCAGCUAGUUGGUGAGGUAACGGCUCACCAAGGCUACGACGGGUAGCUGGUCUGAGAGGACGAUCAGCCACACUGGGACUGAGACACGGCCCAGACUCCUACGGGAGGCAGCAGUGGGGAAUCUUGCGCAAUGGGCGAAAGCCUGACGCAGCAACGCCGCGUGGGGGA